AGAGUCGGAGCGGCUAGAAACAAA
rnacentral:snRNA from 1 species